UACGGAAGGUCCGGGCGUUAUCCGGAUUUAUUGGGUUUAAAGGGAGCGCAGGCGGACGUUUAAGUCAGUUGUGAAAUACGGCGGCUCAACCGUCGGGGUGCAGUUGAUACUGGCGUCCUUGAGUGCGGCAGAGGCAGGCGGAAUUCGUGGUGUAGCGGUGAAAUGCUUAGAUAUCAUGAAGAACUCCGAUCGCGAAGGCAAGUGCCCGGGGUGCAACUGACGCUGAGGCUCGAAGGUGCGGGUAUCGAACAGG
rnacentral:rRNA from 1 species